GGUUAAGCGACUUUAUAAAGAAGGUAAGAGAUCCCAGAUUUAUUGAGUAAGAAAAUUUCUGAAUGAUCUUGACAUUUUACUCCUUGAUUUCUGUCCUCUUUCAUUAACUGUCAUAUCCUUAUAGAAAAUUAUAACAGCUGUCCAUUGCCCAUUAGCAGAGGUUGGCCAACUCUUUCUAUAAAGAUCCAGAGAGUAAAUUCAUUUGUUUUUGCAGGACACAAGGUCUUUGUUGAAACUUUUCAACGCCAGUGCUGUGAAUUGAAGUCAGCUGUAGGAGACAUGUCUCUCCAUGGGUAUGGCUGCUGUCCUGUAAAACUCCACUUACAAAGGCCUGACCGCCAGGAACCUUGGUCAAAGAGCAGUGCAGUUUUGAUGAAAUACGUCUUCAGUGUUUGA
rnacentral:lncRNA from 13 species